CAGACGAAACAAAGGAGGGAUCUACAAACCAGACCCAUAGUUACCGAACAUACCAACCCAAAAAACAAGGACGGCCAAACACAAGCAGAAGUAGAAACAAACAUAGACCGAGACAAGCAUCUGAAAAACAGAUUUAGCGGAAAGCCCCGCGAUUUGACAACUCGGAACAAUGAGAGUCAGCGAAACUAAACCUCCAAACCAGGCCACAAACUAGAUCAUCCGCGGCGGGCAAGGUAGACCAUCUCUUGAGAGAACAUGAACCAGGGAAGAUGGCGGUCUAGAAACCCAUCACUCAGGGCACAUCUUCCUACGGGCUAGCGAGGCAACCAUAUCAGCUGCACCAUUCGCUUUUCUGUGGAUCCAUUUCCAGACCGAAGUUGUAGACCAAAUAGAAGCGCGACGAAUGCGAUCAAUUGCCGGCUUCAGACUCCAGUGAGAGCAAGGUCCACAGCGGCUAUCGCUGCCAAAGCCUCAGAUUCCAGACGCUCCAGCUACCACGCGGCCGUCAGAGUCACGUGCCACCACUCCGAUGCCCAUUUGCGCGGUUAGAUCACACCAAGAGCCAUCACAGUUGAUCUUUAUAGUACCUGGUGGAGGGGGGAUCCAAGAUUGAGGGGUUGUGAUUGUGGUGAUUGAUGUCUGAGGGGCGAAACUUAUCCAACUUUUGCUGUUUGGGUUCUGGAUACUAGGAGGAUUACAUAGAGGGUGAAUCCGAGAAGUAUGGCUAGUGUGGAUUGAAUUUUGAUGGUGAGCAGGAGGGUGGUGAGAGUAAUUUGGAUUUUGGGGUGGUGAAGGGGGGAUUGGUGUUUGUACGGUGGUGUCCAGGUCAAUGGAAAGACGGGAAAAACAGUUACUGAUGGGAAUAGUUGCCCUGAAUGGUGGGGGGGAGGGCAUAGCAAAAUUUGGGUUGAGGUGACUGGCCGGUGGACAUUGAGUGGUGGUGGGGGAAAAGGUAUUUGGGUUGGGGGGGAAAGAGGGAGGAGGGAGAAGAGAAGGAGCUUGAAAGAGGACUUACAGUGCUUUUUGCAUGCAGGAACUCAGAGAAGGCUGCGCUGGCAUUAGUAGCAACAAGGAGGGGAUAUGGGAGGGAGUUCUGCUAGAGGAACAUACAUCUGGCCUUCCAAAUCUCCCAUAGAAGAAAAGCUACCAUGGAGAGAAGCAUAAUGAACUUGCAAACCAAGUUUUAGUAGCCCAAGGGCAGAGCAGAAGGCAGUGUUCCACUGAUUCAGGGUGCACCUCACAAAUAGG